CUAGUUAACAGCUUUAAGCUAUCUGCAAGUUUUUACGCAUUCCCUUGAUAAAUUAACAGUACGGUUAUACUAAUAUUUAGAAGAUACCCACUGCUGAUAAGUGUCUCUGGCAAUUGAACUGAACAUCAGACAAUGGACAAUGCAGAGAGAAAUAUUUCCAAAAUAACUGAAAGAGUAAUUUCAAAUACUGAGAACUUACUUACUUGCCGUAAGGAGAUUAUAUCACCACAUGAUAUUCCAACCAUAAAGAAAAAGAUAAAAGAUGCGGAAGAGAAACUGGAAGUCUACGAAAAAAAAUGGUUUCAAUCUUUUUACAAAGAGUACGUAUUAUGUUUAUUUAUGAGGAUAAUAUAACUUGUUACGCAAUACUGCCCAAUUAAAUUUAGAACUUUUAUUAAUACAUAUUUGAUAUUUUUAAAAA